UACGUAGGGACCAAGCGUUGUUCGGAUUUACUGGGCGUAAAGGGCGCGUAGGCGGCAAUUCAAGUCAUCUGUGAAAUCUCCGGGCUUAACCCGGAACGGUCAGAUGAUACUGCUUUGCUAGAGUGCAGAAGGGGCAAUCGGAAUUCUUGGUGUAGCGGUGAAAUGCGCAGAUAUCAGGAGGAACACCAGUGGCGAAGGCGGUGCUCUGGGCCGGAACUGACGCUGAGGAGCGAAAGCGUGGGUAGCAAACAGG
rnacentral:rRNA from 1 species